GGUAACGCUAGACGAGGCCGGCGCGGCGGCGGCGCCUGCGCGCUGGCGGCCGGCCGGCUGAUGGGCGGUGCGCCGGCCCGGCUCGGCAGUCGGCUCCCUCGGAUUGAGUGCGUCGGUUCCGGACAGGUCCGCAGAUAACUCCGAGCAGCCAACUCCCUCACAGCCGUCACCAUGGAGGCCAUCAAGAAGAAGAUGCAGGCGAUGAAGCUGGAGAAGGACAACGCGAUGGAUCGCGCUGACCUUCUCGAGCAGCAGGCCAAGGACGCCAACCUGCGCGCCGAGAAGACCGAGGAGGAGCUGCGCGCUCUGCAGAAGAAGCUGCAGCAGACGGACAACGAGCUGGACACGGUGCAGGAGGCGCUCACCACCGCCAACCACAAGCUGGAGGAGAAGGACAAGGCUCUGGCCACGGCUGAGGGCGAGGUGUCGGCUCUGGGCCGCCGCAUCCAGCUGCUGGAGGAGGACCUGGAGCGCUCCGAGGAGCGGCUCGCCACCGCCACCACCAAGCUGGCCGAGGCCUCCCACUCGGCCGACGAGUCCGAGCGGCAGCGCAAGGCUCUAGAGAACCGGACCAACACUGAGGAGGACCGCGUGGCCAUCCUGGAGGCGCAGCUCGCCCAGGCCAAGCUGAUUGCCGAGGAGGCCGACAAAAAAUACGAGGAGGUGGCGCGCAAGGUGGUCAUGCUGGAGAACGACCUGGAACGCGCCGAGGAGCGGGCUGAGACGGGCGAGGCUAAGAUCGUGGAGCUGGAGGAGGAGCUGCGUGUCGUCGGCAACAACCUCAAGUCGCUCGAGGUCUCGGAGGAGAAGGCCCGGGAACGUGAGGAGGAGUACGAGAAACAGAUCACCCUGUACACCGGCCGGCUGAAGCAGGUACUGCGCGCCCGCAGCGGCCGGCCCGGCUCGACCCACCGCCUCCCUCACUAACCCCCGCAGCCCGCCCGCCGGCCGACCGCAGAGACGGCCGACCGGCCCCCCUAACCCCCGAGUGACCUAACCGUGUGCCGUGACCGGCUAACUGGCCUUGUGAGUGUGGUGCGGUGCCGGCCGACUAACCCGCCGCGGCCCGCGCCGCCGCCUGUCUGUCUGUCUGUAGGCCUCCGAGCGCGAGGCGGUGUUCGAGGAGCGUCUCAAGGACCACGCGGCACGGUGCAGAACGGUUAGUUCACCGGCGACUGGACGUGGUGUCAGGCCGACACUGCGGAGUCAGUUUUAGUCGUGUCUCAGGGAGUCUGAAAUUUCGUUGGUUUAUGGGAACUCAGAGGUGAACAGAGCUCGGCCAUGUGAAAAGAACAGGCCGAAGAGAUUCAGAGGAUUACGAACAAUAAGUCAGGGAAAUGAUAAAUUGGGUGAGUGCUGAUAUCUUUCUUUUGUACCGGUAGUUUUAUAGCUAUAAGUUGGCGUUUAUUUUAUAUGACACUUACAGUCAGUCAGGUCCUGGCCGGUGCAGGAUUUUGGGAACACCAAACAAUUUUUACGAAUUUUCCUCGGUGGAGUCUGUUUGAUGUCAAACAUUUCUUUUUUUAAAUCUGUUUAAUGGUAUUUUACAAAAAGACUGUAGGCUGGGACGCCAGGUCCGUUGUCUUCAGGUAGGUGUUGGUUGCGUUUGACGCUGGGGACGUAUCUCUCCCCGGUACACGUGCUCACACAUUGCUUGUAAGCUGAUCUACCGAUGCUGCGGUUCAUCUGCGUUUUAAUGCCUUUUCUCGUUGCCUAAAUUCCACAAUUAUAGAAUAGCAUCGAUAAAUGCUAACAGUGUGGUGGCCAUAACCGAAAUUAUCUCGGAUCUCUUUUAAGCUGCUUUGACAAGCAAUAAUUCUGAUUUAUUGGCUCUCGUAUGCCAAUGUGCUGUCACAGCCGUGUGAUGCGUAGCGUAACGUAAAAGACGAGUUGUUUCCCAGGGUUCCGUAGUUGGGUUUGUCUCUGUGGUGUGUUCUCCCGGGCCCCGCCGCGCUGUGCCCCGCUGACCCGGCUCGGUCGCCCCGCCCCUCCGUGCGCCCGCAGGCUGAGGCUCGCGCUGAGUUCGCCGAGCGGUCGGUGCAGAAGCUGCAGAAGGAGGUCGACAGACUGGAAGUGGCGCUGGUCGAGGCGCGCCACCAGCAGAAGCUGCUCGAGGACGAGAUGGACACGACGCUGAAGGACAUUCAGAACUUGUGAGCGCGCUGCCUAGCAGUGAGCGUGGGACCCGUGGUGGCCGGCCGCCGGGCAGACGAGCUCGUCAACGAGAAGGAGAAGUACAAGGGGAUCGCCGACGAGAUGGACACGGCGUUCGCCGAACUCUCCGGCUACUAAGCAGUCAGUGCGAGCAGCACGGAGCGCCCGCCGCCGGCGGGCCGCGUCACCAGGGCGGGGACGGACCGGGACCGGGCGCCGCCACCGCCACGCGACCCACUGACUGAUGAUGCUGACCGGCGGCGCCCGCCGCCCGCGCCGCCCCCGCCCGCCGGCGACCGGCCGCCGCCGCCGCCGCCGAGUAACUGUCCGUGGCACCGCGGACGCCCGGCCGUGCCGCCGCCGCCGCCGCAGCUUCUCUGUCGCGCUGUCGCCGCCGUCACCAGAGCGCCGCCCAAAUUCCCCCUCCCUCUUCUCUCAAUCCCGUCUAUUGUAUGUAGCCUGUUCUCUUUUGUAAUUUUUACUAUUGUAUUUGUUAGCUUGUCAGAAGAAUAUGGCUAUAUUAUUAUGUAUGGGUUCGAAUGAUGGAUAGGUGCGUGUCUUGCGUCAGCGUCAUUGAUUUUCGGCUAGAUCACGCGGUGACAAAAUGAAAUUGUGAUUAUAUCGCAAGUUGUACACAGCUGAACGAAAUGACUUAAAAAAUCUAACAAUUUUUA